rnacentral:misc_RNA from 1 species
GAAAUGCGAUAAUUAAUGUGAAUUGCAGAAUUCAGUGAAUCAUCGAGUCUUUGAACGCACAUUGCGCCCCCUGGUAUUCCGGGGGGCAUGCCUGUCCGAGCGUCAUUGCUGCCCUCAAGCACGGCUUGUGUGUUGGGCUUCCGUCCCUGGCAACGGGGACGGGCCCAAAAGGCAGUCGCGGCACCAUGUCUGGUCCUCGAGCGUAUGGGGCUUUGUCACCCGCUCCCGUAGGUCCAGCUGGCAGCUAGCCUCGCAACCAAUCUUUUUAACCAGGUUGACCUCGGAUCAGGUAGGGAUACCCGCUGAACUUAAGC